UACGUAGGGUGCGAGCGUUAAUCGGAAUUACUGGGCGUAAAGGGUGCGCAGGCGGUUAUUUAAGACAGGCGUGAAAGCCCCGGGCUUAACCUGGGAGGUGCGCUUGUGACUGGAUAGCUAGAGUACGGCAGAGGGGGGUGGAAUUCCACGUGUAGCAGUGAAAUGCGUAGAGAUGUGGAGGAACACCGAUGGCGAAGGCAGCCCCCUGGGCUAGUACUGACGCUCAGGCACGAAAGCGUGGGGAGCAAACAGG
rnacentral:rRNA from 1 species